GGGGGGGGUGGUGGCCGCGUGGGUGCCUCUCCCCAGCUCGCUGCCGCCUCGGUCCCUUUCCCAACAAGAGGAGAAUUAGCCGGCAUCAUGACGAAGCAGUAUUGGCUGCCGCUCCUCUCGCUUCCCCAGCACAAAGAGAACAAGGAGCCGAGGCUGUGGGGCCGAAGGAAACGGGAGGGGAAGAGAAUCAAAUCACCGUGGUUAAUUCCGGCCGCCACACCUGGGCAGCGGCGCUUUGUUCGGCCCUAAUUGCGGGCUGUUGCAUUUCCCCGAUCCUUUAAAGCCUCACUGAACUCAAA